CCUACGGGAGGCAGCAGUGAGGAAUAUUGGUCAAUGGCCGGAAGGCUGAACCAGCCAAGCCGCGUGAAGGACGAAGGUGCCAAGCAUUGUAAACUUCUUUUGUCAAGGGACAAAAUCAGGCUCGAGAGCCUGACCGAGGGUACUUGAAGAAAAAGCAUCGGCUAACUCCGUGCCAGCAGCCGCGGUAAUACGGAGGAUGCGAGCGUUAUCCGGAUUUAUUGGGUUUAAAGGGAGCGUAGAUGGGUUGUUAAGUCAGUUGUGAAAGUUUGCGGCUCAACCGUAAAAUUGCAAUUGAUACUGGCAGUCUUGAGUACAGUUGAGGUAGGCGGAAUUCGUGGUGUAGCGGUGAAAUGCUUAGAUAUCACGAAGAACUCCGAUUGCGAAGGCAGCUUACUAAACUGCCACUGACAUUGAUGCUCGAAAGUGUGGGUAUCAAACAGGAUUAGAUACCCUUGUAGUC
rnacentral:rRNA from 1 species